AAGUCCCUACCCUGCUCUGGCCCUCAAUUUCCUCCUCAUAAGAAUAACAACCUCCACCAUCAUCCUAACAGCAAGGUGCCGGAGCCCUGCCACAGGCCAGGAACCCCUCCGUCCCUCCUAACACCUUUAUGAGGAUUGCUAAGAGUUGGAAUGGACUGGACAGCAACAGAUAAUGAUUGGCAGUCUGGUUACUGCUGCACCCACUGAUAAUAUCAUUACUCAGCUACUGGACCUGACCCCGCAGCCCUAAGGAGGCAUGUCUAAGUUUGAAUCCACCAGGUGCUCCUUGGAAACUCUGUGGUGUAGUUCCACUCUGUCCUAUAGGAUCGCUAUGAGUCGGAAUCGGAAUCGACUUGACGGCAAUGAGUUUUUUGGGUUAGUCUGGGCCAAGCAUGCAUCAGGCACUUUAUACCACGUAUCUAACCCUCACAACAGCCCUGUGAUGGAGGCGUUACUAUUCCCGCUUGGAGAUGAGGAGGCAGAGGUAUGUUGGGACCUGCCCACAGGCUCACAGGUGUCUCAUGGGCAGCCAGGCCUGGAACCCAGGACCAAAGUGUUGGGGAGCCAGAAGGUGUCCCCAGGUCACAUAGUCAAGCCGUCUCCCAGAGCCCCCUGGGGGAGGGUCACAAAAGGCAGGCAUGAGGGCCCACCCAGUGGUCUCAGCAUGUGAAAGAAUUAAAACAAAGGGGCCAUCGACUCAUGGUGGGGGUGGGGGAGAGAAGGAAGGCCACAAGCCAAAGAAACCCCAAGGGACUCAGCUGCUCUUUGAAGCACUAGUCCCUUCUCUCGCUCUCAUGGGCACAUACAUUCGUUUAGGGUCAAUAAAAAUGGGAGAGGUAAUUUUUAAUUAAUAAGUACCUCUGUUUAGAGAAGGAGCUCUUUGAAAAGAUGGACUACAGAGGAGGAAACAAGCAACAGCACCAUGCAGCUCAGCAUGCUGGUCACCACAGCUCUGAGGCAGUGCUUUCCCGGGGCACAAACCGAGAGGAGGGUGACGGGCCCAGGGAACCGGUCCCCUGCUGCCAUGGGCCAGCUUCCUUUUCUAGCUGUCUUGUCCCCGUUACUCCCCUCUGCUCCCUCCUCCUCUCACUUCUUCCUUCCUCCAGCACCCAGAUCAGAAGUCCACCUGACCAGCCAAGUGGAUAAGGGGAUCCUGCUUCACCCCAAGGGUGUUUGGGAAGACGAAAGGCAGGGGUAUCUACAAGCCAGCCACCAACCCCAACCCUCAGGAUGCCUGUGGGCCACCCUGAAAGUGUAGCCAGUAGUGAGAGGAGAGCAGGGCCUGGACUAUUGAGCCCAUUUUGCAGAGAGGGAAGCCGAGGCAGCAUGGGCUAUCUUCCCCUCUCCUCUCUCUCCCGAGCCCUUCCCCGCAAAAUGCCACCAGGACCCACCGCCAGAUCAGCCCAGGGCAGCAGCACAACAGAAAGCCCCUGGCACAGACACGGUGGCUCUCAGCAGAGGGGGUUUCCAAGAGUCAGUCUCAAGGUGGCAGGGCAGGGGUGGGGUACCCAUGGACCAAUGGGGAGGCCCCACGACUAGCUCGUUUCUUCUCCUCCCCCCCAAAACUCCCUGCUGGGAGGUGAUUGGUUGGUGGGAGGGUUCCUGAUUGAGCUUCAGUAGGGGAGGUGGAGCAACCCAGACAGGUCUCAGAACCAGACCCCCCUGCCUACUCUGGGAUGGUGAUGUUGGGGAGGCACAAAGGAAAUACCUGAAAAUGUGGAGGCCUGGUUCCAGUCCAAGGAGCCCUGGUGGUGCAGUGGUUAAGCACAUGGCUGCUAACGGAAAGGUCGGCAGUUCAAAACCAACCACUUCACAGGAGAAAGAUGUGACAGUCUACCUCCAUAAAAAUUUACAACCUUGGAUACCCUAUGGGGCAGUUAUACUCUGUCCUAUAGGGCUGCUGUGAGUCAGAAUCAACUCGAUGGUAAUGGGGUAAUGUGGGUUCGAGUUCAACUCUGCCACCCCUUGCUGUGUGACCUAAGGCAAGCUGCUUACCCUCUCUGUUUCCUCAUCUUCAGAGACCUCGAUCGCACCACCACACAGGCUGUAUGGGAACCUACUCUGUCCAAGGCAAGGCAGGCUCAGGCUCUGCCCCAGCUACAUGGCACUGAGGACGCUGGUGCUCCACCAGCUAGACUUCCCUGCCCAGCCCCACAGACUCCCCACACCCAGCACUGUACUCGCUGUGGUUCAGAGGCCCCUCCAUCUGACCAGCAGCCGUCUCUGAAGCCAAGAUGCUGAGCCUUUGCCUCCCAGUUGCCAAGAAAACCCAGAAGAAGGGGAGGGGAGGAGAGAGGAGAGGAAGAGCCAUCCAGAAGAUGGAGCCCAACAAGUGAGAGGGGUGGGGUGAGAAGAGAAGCUGGUGGUCCACCUGGACCCUCAUGUGCUCCAAGCCCCUCAGCUGGCAGAGGGGAGACAGACCCAGAGAAGAGGAUGAUUUACUCCAGGUCAGCUGGCCGAUUACAAGAGCAGCUGGAGCUAGAAGCUGGGCAGGGGAGAGGGCAAAAGGCAGGCGGAGAGACAGAUGGGCAGGCAGACAGACACACACAAAGGAGCCUUACUUUGGGGGCCAUCCUUUCCACUUCACCAGGUACUCCACUUUACCCUGGGAAGAGAGAGAGAAAGGCAGACAUAGUGAGAUACACAGUCUCCCUGACAACCACUCACAGGACAGUCAGGCCCAAAGGACCUCAGUCCCAUAUCCCCUUUGCAGACAGGUGUACCCCAGCACACAGUCUGAGGGUCCUUCAGCAGAUCCUUGCCAACCUCGAGACCAUGACAUUUGGCUGCCACAUGACGACCCUGGACCACCAUCCGUACAAGAGCACAGGAGUACAUCAGCCCCAAACAGCUCCUGGGGCAGAAUUUCUGAGCUGCAGCACCCAGUCUCCUCAUGUUACACAUGGGGAAACUGAGACCAGGGAGGGGCAUGCACAGCCAGAGAUCACAGUGUCAUAGUCAAGAUUGGUAGACUCCUCCAAUCCUAGAAAAUUCCUCCCUCUGCCUCAGCUCAAGUCCCAUCAACUCUGUCCCUGGGAGAGGCCA